rnacentral:rRNA from 1 species
GAUGAACGCUGGCGGCGUGCCUAAUACAUGCAAGUCGAGCGAACAGACGAGGAGCUUGCUCCUCUGACGUUAGCGGCGGACGGGUGAGUAACACGUGGAUAACCUACCUAUAAGACUGGGAUAACUUCGGGAAACCGGAGCUAAUACCGGAUAAUAUAUUGAACCGCAUGGUUCAAUAGUGAAAGACGGUUUUGCUGUCACUUAUAGAUGGAUCCGCGCCGCAUUAGCUAGUUGGUAAGGUAACGGCUUACCAAGGCAACGAUGCGUAGCCGACCUGAGAGGGUGAUCGGCCACACUGGAACUGAGACACGGUCCAGACUCCUACGAGAGGCAGCAGUAGGGAAUCGUCCGCAAUAGGCGAAAGCCUGACGGAGCAACGCCGCGUGAGUGAUGAAGGUCUUCGGAUCGUAAAACUCUGUUAUUAGGGAAGAACAAAUGUGUAAGUAACUAUGCACGUCUUGACGGUACCUAAUCAGAAAGCCACGGCUAACUACGUG